GUGGGGACACGGUGGUCACCCACCUCUUGCAUUAUUAGAAUGCAAUUAUUGGAAGGGGGAAGAGGGGAGGAUCUCAUUUGGGCGUCAGGGGAGAUGCAUCUCACCCGUGAGCACCUCUUGGACAAGGUUGCUCCUGGACCGUGAAGGUGGCUUCUCCUUUUGAUGGACCAGCUACGUCUUUAAGGUGUUGGACCGUUUCCUCCAAGUGCUACUGGUGCUGUUGCCGCUGUCCAUCCAGCCAGGCAGUGACACCUCUUGCAUGCUGCUACUGCUGUCCGUGAAACCAAAUCAGCAUUUGAAAAAGGAAAAUCAACCUGUGACAAGAAGUGCACCGUUCCAGCUCCAAAACAAUUCAUGCGUGUUCUUUGGAAUAAAGGAAGCAACGUCCUCUUCCUUCAGAUGUCCCAUGUGCACUUUCUUCAAUUAAUUUCUUGGACAUGAGGAAUAAAGUCGUGAGUCAUGGUGUGUGUUUCUUCUAAACCAAUUCUGAAAUGAGUGAUAAAGUGGGCCAUAAUGCUUUCUCCCAACAAAAUAGUCACCUUAUAUUAUAUAAGUGGUGGCUCCCAUCUUUAUUCUAAGCAAUUAUGGUCAUGCAAAAGUGUAGGGCCGUGUGCUAUUUGCACUUCAACAAAUUCAACAUUUGCUUUUAGGAGUACUCCACGUGAGCUUUCAACCAAUUGGUGGCCCCCUCAUUCCAUCAAGCACGGUUUGCAUACUCCAAAAAGAAUUUUCCUAUUUAAUUCCAAAAGAUUGCUUGCUGCCGAAAGGAAUGGCCAUGGGCCGUGUGGCUGAUAAUCAAAAGCAUAGAAGAGAGCCAUGUGGGAGAGCAGCCAGAGGAAGGGCACCCUUCCUUCCAUUUUCAACCGUUCAAAGAACACCCAAGGGAAGUAGUACCAACUUCAGAAGUGCAGAGAGGAUGUUUUGGGUUGGACAUCUUGUGAGAGUGAAGCUGUUGCAGCAAGAUCUGGGAGAGGAAGUGAAGAACUGUUGAGGUUGCAAGGAGAUCUUGAUCUGACGUCUGGGAGGAGAUAGAUCCCAAAAUUUUACUAAGGAAGUUUUCAAGAGUUGAAGGAUUGUCACGUGAUUGUGUGCAAAUGGAGGAAGAGAUGGAAGAUCGAAUUAGAAGGAUUCAAGGCUAUCUUUGCAGUUGCGUCUGAGCUUAAAACUGAUGUAUAGAUUUUAGUUUUUGUUCGGGAUGUUAUGUAUUAUUACAACAUUUAAGUUUUGAAAAUAAUUUUUUUUUUUUGUGAAUUUUUGGGAUGUUACAUACAAAUCAAUAAAUAUAUCUUAGGAACUA